UACGUAGGGCGCAAGCGUUGUCCGGAAUUAUUGGGCGUAAAGAGCUCGUAGGCGGUCUGUCGCGUCUGCUGUGAAAACCCGAGGCUCAACCUCGGGCCUGCAGUGGGUACGGGCAGACUAGAGUGCGGUAGGGGAGACUGGAAUUCCUGGUGUAGCGGUGGAAUGCGCAGAUAUCAGGAGGAACACCGAUGGCGAAGGCAGGUCUCUGGGCCGCAACUGACGCUGAGGAGCGAAAGCAUGGGGAGCGAAC
rnacentral:rRNA from 1 species